GAGUCAGUGCAGAGCUGGCCAGGGAACCGUGCUCUCCUUCCUGGUGUGCCGUCAGAGGAUGUAAAGCAGUGCAAGUCUUAACAGUGAGUAUAAAUAUUUGAGCAAGAAAGCAGGCAAGCAGUAUUCUGUUUGGUGAGGGCUGGCUCCUGAGCAGCGUGAUGUACAACCCAGACUCGGAGCAAGAGUCAGUGCAGGGCUGGCCAGGGAACCACGCUCUCCUUCCUGGUGUGCUGUCAGAGGAUGCAAAGCAGUGCAAGUCUUACCAGUGAGUAUAAAUAUUUGAGCAAGACAGCAGGCAGGCAAGCGGUCGGGAAGGGGAGGGAGGCUCAGCUGUCACAGAUUCUGUUUGGUGAGGGCUGGCUCCUGAGCAGCGUGAUGUACAACCCAGACUCGGAGCAAGAGUCAGUGCAGGGCUGGCCAGGGAACCACGCUCUCCUUCCUGGUGUGCUGUCAGAGGAUGCAAAGCAGUGCAAGUCUUACCAAACAGAAACUAGAACAUACUUUGAAAUCCAAGAAAACUCAAAAUGGAAGCUGAGGACAGAAAAGAACUUGAGGAUCUUCCAACUCCUGAGUGUCGUAGCAGAGCCAGCCUCCACAUCCAAUCUUGGUUUCAAACUAACAAUUUGGUGACCUUCUGAGCCACCACAUCUCCCUCUCUCAAACCUUAGGAAAAGGUGGGUUUUUUUCUCACCUCCCAUUUGGCUGUGGUUUUGAUGCUGCUCUCCUUAGGAGUCACCCAUCCAUGGCUGCUGUGCUGUUUCCUUGCUGGAUCUGGCUUUUCAAUUUUUCCUUCUGUCAGCCCUGUCCUUCACCUGGGAAUCCUCCUUCCUCUGGACAUGUCGAAGUGUUUCUGGAGAAGACAGCAUCUUCAGGAGGAAGAGGAGGACUCGGUGUGCUGCAGCUAGGAUGAGGCAAGGAGAUGUUCCUUUCUUCUGACCUGCCAUGCACUUUUGAAAGAAGUUAACAGAUGAACUUCACACACCCUGUUUCCCCUAAAAAUCCCCCAAAUCUUAUCAUAGUGCGCCUUUAAAUUAAAAAUAAAAAAAAAAAUUAAAAAGACUGCCA
rnacentral:lncRNA from 1 species